UACGGAGGGGGCUAGCGUUGUUCGGAAUUACUGGGCGUAAAGCGCACGUAGGCGGCUUUGUAAGUUAGAGGUGAAAGCCCGGGGCUCAACUCCGGAAUUGCCCUUAAGACUGCAUCGCUAGAAUUGUGGAGAGGUAAGUGGAAUUCCGAGUGUAGAGGUGAAAUUCGUAGAUAUUCGGAAGAACACCAGUGGCGAAGGCGGAUCUCUGGGCCGUAACUGACGCUGAGGAGCGAAAGCAUGGGUAGCGAACAGG
rnacentral:rRNA from 1 species